rnacentral:rRNA from 1 species
UGGGGAAUUUUGGACAAUGGGCGAAAGCCUGAUCCAGCAAUGCCGCGUGUGUGAAGAAGGCCUUCGGGUUGUAAAGCACUUUUGUCCGGAAAGAAAUCCUUGGCUCUAAUACAGUCGGGGGAUGACGGUACCGGAAGAAUAAGCACCGGCUAACUACGUGCCAGCAGCCGCGGUAAUACGUAGGGUGCAAGCGUUAAUCGGAAUUACUGGGCGUAAAGCGUGCGCAGGCGGUUUGCUAAGACCGAUGUGAAAUCCCCGGGCUCAACCUGGGAACUGCAUUGGUGACUGGCAGGCUAGAGUAUGGCAGAGGGGGGUAGAAUUCCACGUGUAGCAGUGAAAUGCGUAGAGAUGUGGAGGAAUACCGAUGGCGAAGGCAGCCCCCUGGGCCAAUACUGACGCUCAUGCACGAAAGCGUGGGGAGCAAACAGGAUUAGAUACCCUGGUAGUCCACGCCCUAAACGAUGUCAACUAGUUGUUGGGGAUUCAUUUCCUUAGUAACGUAGCUAACGCGUGAAGUUGCACC